UACGUAGGGCGCAAGCGUUGUCCGGAAUUAUUGGGCGUAAAGAGCUCGUAGGCGGUUUGUCGCGUCUGCUGUGAAAACUCGAGGCUCAACCUCGGGCUUGCAGUGGGUACGGGCAGACUAGAGUGCGGUAGGGGUGACUGGAAUUCCUGGUGUAGCGGUGGAAUGCGCAGAUAUCAGGAGGAACACCGAUGGCGAAGGCGGCUUGCUGGGCGUAGUCUGACGCUGAGGCGCGAAAGCGUGGGGAGCGAACAGG
rnacentral:rRNA from 1 species